AUAAUAUACACAUAAAUAUAUAAUUACAACUCAUUUGUAGCAUUAAUGAAAAAUGUCAGCAGCUUAAGUUUCUUGUAUAGUGUUUUAUCAACUAACUGGGAUUCUGAAAGCUUAUGGAUGUGCAUCAUAACAUCAACAUCAGUCAAUAGGAACACAAAUAUGGCCCUUUGAAGACGUGUUGUAAUAUUACGGUAUAUUUUUGUUGUAUAUAAUGUUAUAUUUGUAAUUAUUUCACAUUACAUGUAACAUACUAUAUAAAAAUAUAAAAUAGAUGCUAAAGUUAAAUGAUAAGAGUUAACAUAGUGACUAUUGUUUCAUAAUAGUUAAAAUAAUAUAGGUUACUAUUUCAAUUAUUAUUUGACUUAAUGAUAUGCGUACCUUACUAAUUGAUUAGAAUUAGUUUUGCCAGCAUAUGGAUAGUAUGGUCUUCAGCCUAACAUCCUGCGUCAGCAGCAUCCUAGUGCUGGAUGCUGUGCCUUUUCUCCCCCAAGGCCUUCCCUCUGAGUCUCGCCUGCAAACCCAUCCGUCAGUUAUAGGCAGCAAUGGUCUUGACCUGGCUCUGUUAACAGCUUUCACGUAGAUGAAUAAACCUGCUUAUAGGUGACAUCGCACUUCAGAGUGAAAUGCUGCAGCAUUUUAUAAUCUUUCCCUUUCUCAUCUUUUCAGUCAAAUGUGUUUCUUCUCUGUUAUCUUUUGCCAUUGUAAUUAUAAAAAUAAAAUGCUGA
rnacentral:lncRNA from 1 species